GGUCAGCUGACACAUCCCUGCCAAUCUCCGGCAGACCCUCCCUCCCAGACCCUCCUACUUCCUGGACAGCAUCCAUGUUGAAGGCAGCUUCAACAUGGAUGCUGUCCAGGAGGUGGGAGGGUCUGGGAGGGAGGGUCUGCCGGAAGGCAGCUUCAACAUGGAUG